rnacentral:rRNA from 1 species
GACGAACGCUGGCGGCGUGCUUAACACAUGCAAGUCGAACGGAAAGGCCCUGCUUUUGUGCGGUUCUCGAGUGGCGAACGGGUGAGUAACACGUGAGUAACCUGCCCUUGACUUUGGGAUAACUUCAGGAAACUGGGGCUACUACCGGAUAGGAUCUCCUGCUCCAUGGUGGGGGUUGGAAAGUUUCGGCGGUUGGGGAUGGACUCGCGGCUUAUGAGCUUGUUGGUGGGGGAGUGGCUUACCAAGGCUGUGACGGGUAGCCGGCAUGAGAGGGUGACCGGCCACAAUGGGACUGCGAGACGGCCCAGACUCGUACGGGAGGCAGCAGGGGGGAAUAUUGCACAAUGGGAGGAAGCCUGAUGCAGCGACGCCGCGUGCGGGAUGACGGCCUGCGGGGUGUAAACCGCUUUCGCCUGUGACGAAGCGGGAGUGACGGUAAUGGGUAAAGAAGCACCGGCUAACUACGUG